rnacentral:rRNA from 1 species
UAGGGAAUCUUCGGCAAUGGACGGAAGUCUGACCGAGCAACGCCGCGUGAGUGAAGAAGGUUUUCGGAUCGUAAAGCUCUGUUGUUAGAGAAGAACGUUGGUAGGAGUGGAAAAUCUACCAAGUGACGGUAACUAACCAGAAAGGGACGGCUAACUACGUGCCAGCAGCCGCGGUAAUACGUAGGUCCCGAGCGUUGUCCGGAUUUAUUGGGCGUAAAGCGAGCGCAGGCGGUUCUUUAAGUCUGAAGUUAAAGGCAGUGGCUUAACCAUUGUACGCUUUGGAAACUGGAGGACUUGAGUGCAGAAGGGGAGGGUGGAAUUCCAUGUGUAGCGGUGAAAUGCGUAGAUAUAUGGAGGAACACCGGUGGCGAAAGCGGCUCUCUGGUCUGUAACUGACGCGGAGGCUCGAAAGCGAGGGGAGCAAACAGG